rnacentral:lncRNA from 1 species
GAUAAGUGCUAAAUAAUGCAUAAAUUCAUAUCUUAUUCAUAGCACUUAUCAUUAUUUUAAUUCACAUAUUUUGUAAAUUUAACUAAAAAAUGUGUUACCCUCAUCAUUGCAUUUUAAUAAAUUAAUUCGAGUUUGAUUUAGUUAUUUAUUAAUUGAGCCUAAUGUAUGCAGGUCGAAUCUAAUAUAUGCAGGUCGAGUCAAACUUAUUUCGGAUGAUCCCUGAACCCGAAUGACACGUACCCCGUUCAUCCCAACUCUAUUGUUUCUUUCACAUCCAAUUGAGCCCGACUUUUCAUGUUCUAACAUUUUGUCCCAAAAUCUCCCACGUUGCAAUGUUUAAGCCCAUAUCACGUUCAUUAGACUUUAUCCCGGUUGAAACCAACCAUUCCAGUCAUCUCUUCAUUACACGUCAUCAUGCAAAUCCCCUUCAUUCCAUCUCAACUUUGUGGAUUUUCCUCCACGUCCUUCCCAACUACUGUAUUCCAAAGUCCACAGCCGAAANNNNNNNNNNNNNNNNNNNNUCAUGUUUACAUUUGACAAAUGAUAAGUGCUAAAUAAUGCAUAAAUUCAUAUCUUAUUCAUAGCACUUAUCAUUAUUUAAUUCACAUAUUUUGUAAAUUUAACUAAAAAAUGUGUUACCCUCAUCAUUGCAUUUUAAUAAAUUAAUUCGAGUUUGAUUUAGUUAUUUAUUAAUUGAGCCUAAUGUAUGCAGGUCGAAUCUAAUAUAUGCAGGUCGAGUCAAACUUAUUUCGGAUGAUCCCUGAACCCGAAUGACACGCACCCCGUUCAUCCCAACUCUAUUGUUUCUUUCGGAUCGAUCUCACAUCCUUAUCCCUUCCGUGUUCAAAGCUCCAGCUUAUCUAUGCUUCAGCCGAUAACCAAACGCAUCCUCCCAGCAUCCUCUUCCUUCGAAACAGAGUACCAGCCAUCAGCCGAAUCCAGCUCCUCCCAACAUCCAAGAUCUUCUUUCGGACUCCCAGCUUCCACCGUGAAAAUCUUCAUCCCGUUCGCGUUCGGAUAUGCUUGAUUCAACCAUCCACAUGAGAAAUCUCACACGGUAUCUCCCCUGUUCUUGCAAUCAACCUUAUCCCAACGUCUCAGCAACCAUCCUUUACCGUCCACAUCAUCCUAAAUCCCAGCAUCCCCUGUUCCCAAUCGGAUGAACAUUCCAAACAACCACUCCCAGAACCAAGUUCAGAUCCCAUCCUCUCCACGAUAGCUUCUUUCCGAGCUUCACGGCAUCCAAAUGCAUCUUCCCCUGUUUCAAAACUAUCAACCUAGUGUUCCGAAUUGAUCUUCUUCAAGAUUCCUCCCACGUCCACGAACAAACUUCCUUGCAUCCUCAUCCCGUGAACAACCAAACUAUCCUCCCUUGUUUCAACUUCAACGUCCUCAACCG